GAUGAGCGCUGGCGGCGUGCCUAAUACAUGCAAGUCGAGCGAACAGACGAGGAGCUUGCUCCUCUGACGUUAGCGGCGGACGGGUGAGUAACACGUGGAUAACCUACCUAUAAGACUGGGAUAACUUCGGGAAACCGGAGCUAAUACCGGAUAAUAUAUUGAACCGCAUGGUUCAAUAGUGAAAGACGGUUUUGCUGUAACUUAUAGAUGGAUCCGCGCCGCAUUAGCUAGUUGGUAAGGUAACGGCUUACCAAGGCAACGAUGCGUAGCCGACCUGAGAGGGUGAUCGGCCACACUGGAACUGAGACACGGUCCAGACUCCUACGGGAGGAAGCAGUAGGGAAUCUUCCGCAAUGGGCGAAAGCCUGCCGGAGCAACGCCGCGUGAGUGAUGAAGGUCUUCGGAUCGUAAAACUCUGUUAUUAGGGAAGAACAAAUGUGUAAGUAACUAUGCACGUCUUGACGGUACCUAAUCAGAAAGCCACGGCUAACUACGUG
rnacentral:rRNA from 1 species